rnacentral:rRNA from 1 species
UACGGAGGGGGACUAGCGUUGUUCGGAAUUACUGGGCGUAAAAGCGCACGUAGGCGGAUUUGUAAGUCAGGGGUGAAAUCCCGGGGCUCAACCUCGGAACUGCCUUUGAUACUGCAAAUCUCGAGUCCGGGAGAGGUGAGUGGAACUGUGAGUGUAGAGGUGAAAUUCGUAGAUAUUCGCAAGAACACCAGUGGCGAAGGCGACUACCUGGCCUGUUUCUUGACGCUGAGGCGCGAAAGCUAGGGGAGCAAACGGG